rnacentral:rRNA from 1 species
UACGUAGGAUGCAAGCGUUGUCCGGAUUUACUGGGCGUAAAGGGCGCGCAGGCGGCACUACAAGUACUGGGUGAAAUCUCCCUGCUCAACGGGGAGGGUGCUUAGUAGACUGUAGAGCUAGAGGUGGGUAGAGGGUGGUGGAAUUGCUGGUGUAGCGGUGAAAUGCGUAGAGAUCCGGAAGAACACCGGUGGCAGAGGCGCGCUGGGCUAUGGCUGACACUGAGGCGCGACAGCGUGGGGAGCAAACAGG